rnacentral:lncRNA from 1 species
AAACCCAACCCCGCUAGGCCUUAUCACGACCUCCAACCUAUCAUUUAUUACUAUUUUGCACACCGUCGCGACAAAGUCAACAUCGUCGCCACAAACCAGUUUAACAACACCGCUACACUAGUUCAAUUGAAACCUCUGAUUAACACUGUCGUAAUUUAUCAUGCCCACCAACCACCCCACCAUCACACACUCACACAUUACAUACUCCUCAAUUCUAACAAACUAAACGUCACUGCCACCAUACCUUCAUACCGACGCCGACAACAGCUGCACAACACCAAUGCCACUCUAUUCAUCACCAUACACCCACACGAAUAUAUACAGGCCAUUCCAAAUCAUAACCCAAUUGAUACAUAACUUCAAUUUCAUCCACGGAAUCUAGAACCCAACCCACUUUUCCUCUACAACUUGAUCCAUGUAUGCAUUAAAAGGGGCAUUUGCUUGUGUAUAUGAAGAAGAUUUAUAAUAAUCUCUAUUUUACAUCUAAGAAAUCCAAGUAGUAUUAGGUAGAAAGGGAGUUGUAAC